rnacentral:rRNA from 1 species
UAGGGAAUCUUCGGCAAUGGACGGAANUNUGGACCGAGCAACCNCACGUGAGUGAAGAAGGUUUUCGGAUCGUAAAGCUCUGUUGUAAGAGAAGAACGAGUGUGAGAGUGGAAAGUUCACACUGUGACGGUAUCUUACCAGAAAGGGACGGCUAACUACGUGCCAGCAGCCGCGGUAAUACGUAGGUCCCGAGCGUUGUCCGGAUUUAUUGGGCGUAAAGCGAGCGCAGGCGGUUAGAUAAGUCUGAAGUUAAAGGCUGUGGCUUAACCAUAGUAGGCUUUGGAAACUGUUUAACUUGAGUGCAAGAGGGGAGAGUGGAAUUCCAUGUGUAGCGGUGAAAUGCGUAGAUAUAUGGAGGAACACCGGUGGCGAAAGCGGCUCUCUGGCUUGUAACUGACGCUGAGGCUCGAAAGCGUGGGGAGCAAACAGGAUUAGAUACCCUGGUAGUCCACGCUGUAAACGAUGAGUGCUAGGUGUUAGACCCUUUCCGGGGUUUAGUGCCGUAGCUAACGCAUUAAGCACUCCGCCUGGGGAGUACGACCGCAANUUG